UGGGGAAUAUUGCACAAUGGACGGAAGUCUGAUGCAGCAACGCCGCGUGCGGGAUGACGGCCUUCGGGUUGUAAACCGCUUUUUCUCAUGACGAAGUUUUUUGACGGCAGUGGGGGAAGAAGCACCGGCUAACUACGUGCCAGCAGCCGCGGUGAUACGUAGGGUGCGAGCGUUGUCCGGAAUUAUUGGGCGUAAAGAGCUUGUAGGCGGUUUGUCGCGUCGAUAGUGCAAACUCAGUGCUUAACGCUGAGCCUGCUGUUGAUACGGGCAGACUAGAGGAAGGUAGGGGAGAAUGGAAUUCCCGGUGGAGCGGUGGAAUGCGCAGAUAUCGGGAGGAACACCGGUGGCGAAGGCGGUUCUCUGGGCCUUUCCUGACGCUGAGAAGCGAAAGCGUGGGGAGCGAACAGG
rnacentral:rRNA from 1 species